GGAAAAGCCCAUGCAGGCUUAAGUACUCUUGCGCCAACCAACCCCUGAGAGCCACGUGGUACUGUGGAUAGGCCACUCUAUGCGGAAGGAAGCAUGCUGAACAGGCGCAGCCAAAUAAGGACUUGUUUUUCACUAAGAGCACUUGCCAUCGGGCUGGUGGAAGGCGGGAGCCAGCGCCAUCUUUAAGGUGCCGCACUACGCAGCUCUCCACAUCUAUUUUUGUUGAACACAUCUUUUCAUUCUGUAAGAUAAAUAUCUUAGAGUAUGACUGCUGGAUUAUAUGCCUAGUGGGUAUUGCUCAGUCACCAUCUCCAACUGCAGCAAAUCCAGCCUGGACUGCCUACAGCCCCUCACCAUCACCUGUUUCAGUUCAUGUUGUUCAACUUCUACCUUACCAGUGGCCACACUGAUUUACCCAGGGACUUUUCAUGGAUGUCUCAUUCACCCACCAAAUAAGCUACUUUCAUUUGUCUCUGGGGCUAUUUCUACAAAACCUCUGUAAAUGAUACUCUGAAGGGAUUGUUCAUGCUUUCUCUGUAUACUCUGAAGAACUUAUGCAAUGCACCCUA